rnacentral:lncRNA from 1 species
CAUAUAAUUAAUCCAUAUAUUAUUCAUAUGUAUGUAGAUAUAAGUCCAUAUAUCUAACAAUUAAUAGCUGCAAGAUCGAAUCAAAUUAGUCAAUGAAUAUAUGCAUGUGCAAAUUAGUUAAUACUGAAGGUACAGGAAAUUAUGUAAUAGUCUUUAGUAAAUUUAAUUUCUUUCUAUUGUGGUCAACACUUUAUCACUGUCCGUGAUGAAGGUUGAUGGUGAAGAGAAAAAAUCCCUCAAGCAAUGUCUUUAGAAUUAAUUGUGCCUUUGACUCUAAAUUCUCCCUCAUACUUUACUUUGUAACCGCAAAAGAUCAAAUCAGAUCAGAAAAUGAAGCCCUAAAAUAGAUUCAACCAGAAAAAAAAAAUUAGAGCUGGAAAAAAUUGAAAGAGGAAUAGACUUGAAAAUUACAACAACAAGAUGAGAAGAUGAAGAAAAUUGAAAAAACUAUUCAAAAAUGAAAAAGUACUCUAUAUGGUGGCUAUUGAAAUAAAAUCUAUGUAGAAUAAACCUCCACUAAUAACUCAGCUUAUACAUUAUCCCAAAAACAAAGAUAAAAUAAAAAUAUUCUAGAAAUCAAGCAAAAGUUAACGGUCAAAGUGAAGAAGAAACAAUCGAGCAGAAAGACUUAAGAUCAAACUAAAAUUUCAACUCAAAAAGGGAUUAUCACCUGGUUUUGCCCUUUUUCCGUGCUACACUUUGAUUAUGAUGAAUUGUUGUUGCGCUGCUUUUUUUCUCCGUGCACGGCUAGAAAUUUUCAGAUUGGAAUGCUGAGUUAGAAAGAGAGAGAAAAGGUAAUUAAGAUGUUAAAGAGAAGAGGUGUAAAUCUGGAGUCAUAUAACAAUCACACGUGGACUUAUGGCUAGGCAAGUGACGCCACAUAUGAUAUAAUAAAGCUGAUAUUAAAUAAUUAUACGAGAAUAUAUAUACAUAACGU